AGUAAAAGUCGUAACAAGGUUUCCGUAGGUGAACCUGCGGAAGGAUCAUUAUCGAAAUUAAGUGGGGGGGUUUGAUGCUGGCAGUCUUGUGGCUGCAUGUGCUUGCUCUCUCUUUAAUCCACUUUCACAUGUGCACCCAAUUUUUUGAUUUCGGAGGUCUGGCUUGAGAGGCUAGCCUUUGAAAGUCUUAUAAACUCUUAUUUAAAGUAACUGAAUGUUUAUCCGCCGAAAGGCAAUAAUUACAACUUUUAACAACGGAUCUCUUGGCUCUCGCAUCGAUGAAGAACGCAGCGAAAUGCGAUAAAUAAUGUGAAUUGCAGAAUUCAGUGAAUCAUCGAAUCUUUGAACGCACCUUGCACUCUCUGGUAUUCCGGAGAGUACGCCUGUUCGAGUGUCAUGAGACUCUCAAGCAGAGAUAGCUUUCUCUGUUUGGAAUUGGACUCUGCUGUGUAAAUGCGGCUAGUCUUAAAUGCAUUAGCUAGUCCUUGUGCAGGAUUUUGGUUCUACUCGGCGUGAUAAUUAUCUGACGUUGAGGACAGUCUUAGGACUGGCCAGAGUCCCCCCUUUGGAUUGCUUCUAAUUUUGAUUGUCUUUGGACAAGAUAUAUUUUUAAUAAUCUGACCUCGAAUCAGGUGGGAUUACCCGCUGAACUUAAGCAUAUCAAUAAGCGGAGGAAAAGAAACUAACAAGGAUUCCCCUAGUAACGGCGAGUGAAGCGGGAUAAGCUCAAAUUUAAAAUCUGGUAGCCUUGUGGCUGCCCGAGUUGUAAUCUAGAGAAGUGUUUUCUGUGCUGGACUGUGUACAAGUUUCCUGGAUACGGAACAUCAUAGAGGGUGAGAAUCCCGUGCUUGAUACAGACUACCAGUGCUUUGUGAUGCACUCUCAACGAGUCGAGUUGUUUGGGAUUGCAGCUCAAAAUGGGAGGUAAAUUCCUUCUAAAGCUAAAUAUUGGCGAGAGACCGAUAGCGAACAAGUACCGUGAGGGAAAGAUG
rnacentral:rRNA from 1 species